CCCACGGCCCACCUCCCGAGUCGAUGGACCGGACGCACCGGCAGGUCUAAGACUCUCUUUGAGGGAAAAUUCCCCCUUUUCUCCAUUUCCUAACGGCUGGCUUGCGACUCAGAAAAAAAAGGCCCACUUUAUUACACUUUGGCGGUUCCAAGCGACAACUGGAGAUUUACCCAAAAGGCAUAGAGGACAAAGCUGUAAUUGAAGAGCGGCUCUGACACCACACCCGGUUCUGCUCAGCUCUCCUGGAUCAAGUGGAAUGGCGAGAUUCAGAGCGAGUAACAAGAAAAGACAAUCAUCAUUCAUCCCCCUGUCGAGAGCAGAGGCCUUGAUCAGCAGAGCCUCCGUUGGCCCUCAGAUGACCCGCAGCCUAUCUGACCAGCUGUGGUUCAGAUGCCUCAGUCUGAGACGUUCACAUUACUGUAAUAACUGAGACUGUUAACUCUUUCUGCGCUGCAGCAGCUCUUUGUCACCGUCUUAUUACACUGCCGGAAGGAAAUGCAUAUAGAUUUGUGAGGUAACUUUAAUGUUUUAUAUUGAGGCCCUUGUGAUAAGGAAUACAAUGGUUAGCUGCACAAUGAUCAAUAUAAAUAUAUAUAUAUAUCUUAAUAAAGCACCAAAGAUAGCUUUGUAAAGGCUAAACAAAACAAAAACUGAUGAAGAUAUUAGUAACAUUCUUAAGCAUCUAUCAACGAGUUCUUUUAGUGCUAGUGUUUUGAUAAUCUUGCAAUAAAGGUGUUUAUUAUGGUAUUUAUUAACUCUUGAAUAGGCUUUAUUAAUGUUAAUAACAUCUUAUGAAGGAUUAUCCUGUUGACAAACACUUACAUUACAAGGAUCUAAUUAGAAAACCCUUAAAUGUCUUGUCUUCCUUGUCAAAUGUUGCUUUAUAAAAUGUUAACAAUGGCUGAUAUUUUGACGACUGAUUAUAAUUUUUUACUGUAUUUGUUUUGUGAUUGCCUAACCAGAUGAAAUGCUGCUGAGCUGCUGUAAUAAUCAUGCACAUUUCCAAUUUGUUACUUUGAAUAUUGCUUUCAAUUAAAGUUAUUCGCUCACUCUCAUUUAGUGGGAUGUUAUCAUGUUUUGUAUAGGGUUACGUGCAAUGUUUAGGCAGGGUUAAGCAUUUAAAUUAUGAUAUGGAUGUAGAAGUAUUUGAUUAAUGGAUUCAAAUGGCCCUUAUAAUAUAGGCAAUAUUUUCCUCUGACAAUAUUUAACCUUAUUGAUCUUUCUUUGAAAGUUGUAGACUAGUUUAACUUUAAAUGUCCGUUUAAACGUCACGGAAAUGAAUUGUAAGAAAAGCCUAGUUUUGAGAUAUCUGCACUGAACACUCCCACUACAGUGGAGGUGAAUGGAAAACAAUGUUCUUGACUUUGGACGAUCAUGAGAUCUCACUGUGAUAGUUUUCAUAGGGACUAAGGCCAAUUUUUUCAUUACAAAGUAGUUCCAAGUUAAAGUAUAAUUGGUGGCAUCUUUGGAGUAUCCACGGUAACUUGUGCAUUGAUGUUGACUGAUCUUGACGAUCACUAACAAUUUAAUUUCCCUUGAAUUGUAUUGCUGUAGUGGCAGAAACCUCAGUGGUUGAUAUCUCACAACCUUGUCACAUAAAAACUGAACUAUCUACUUGGCCACCGGAUCUAAGUGACAAAAUAUCUCUUUAUGAUUUGGGUAAACCGACUCACUUCAGCCUCGAUUAUAAUGGCUUUGGAAGCUGCUCCAAACUCAACAGGGUGUGUGCACUAUGUAGCAGAAUGUACAACGCUGUAAAAGCCAAAUCAGAGUCUAAUAAUGGGAAGGUGGCCUUCAAGCAAAGUGCCAAUUAUUUUAAAUUGCUCCAUUAAAGGCGGCAAUCACAACUGUCACGUUAGCAUUUGGACAUAAGGGCUCACUUCUGCUGGUUUCGAGUUCACGUGGGUGCAACUGCAGCGUAAUAAACACAUGUGGAUUUACAUAACCUCCAGAAACAAAUGAUUUUGUUUGCUGACUGCUUGCCAUAACACAUAACUGACUGACGGGGGAAAAGCUAGACAUUUUCUCACUUGGACCGAGAGAACAAAGCCCCUCGCUGUUUUUCCGCCUUUUAACAGGUGAGUGCUCCAGCUAUUAAUUUGUGUAGGGCCACCUACUUUAAUUGGUCUUAAUCUGGAGUGAGUGGCUUUGAUCUCUCUGACAGUUUGACUGCAUUAGCACGAGUGUGCAGGCUAAUCCUUGGCGUAGCUUGUUCUUUUGGCGCAGUCAGAGGCCUGUCCAGCGAUAAUAUGUCAGCUGAGGGAUAAGCCCUCAUCAAACAACCAGGUCUAAGCUUCUGGAAAAUGGGGGUUGAAGGGCCACCAUCAUGCUGUGCUUCAAACAAAGAUGGAGACGUAAACCAGCUCCGGCUUGCAGUUUUAAACCCCAAGAGGGACAUUUUUAAUGCUUCCAAGGUUCAUGUCCUUUAUGUAAACCUGUUGUUGUGUUCUGGUGUCUUAUGCUCUGUGACCACACACUUCUUGCUUUAUGAUAAACACUAUUACAUGAUCCUCUAACCCCGAGCCAGUCCCGGGUGCUACAAUGAACUCUUUAUAUCCAUCAUCCCACCACGUUUCUCACACACACACACACACACACUGCACGCAUGAUCCACAUGUCCAAACAGUGGCUUCAUCUGUGCCGUGUCAUCUUAUUAGGAAGUAACAAGCGUAUGAAGUGUUUGUCCUGAACUCGAGAUGAACUCUCAUGAAUUAUGAUAACCAUCUCACAGUCAACAAUAUCUGCUUUCAGGGAAGGAAUAGAGAGAUAGUGUUUGAAAUGAAGAAAACAGCAGUACUUGUGCUUCCCUAGUGAUUAUAUCACACAUCACAGUGAUUUACUUAUCAGGACAGGCAUAUCUCCACUUCAGUGGAUCUUUUGUUUUUGUGUUCCGUGACAGAGGAAUGUUAGCUGAGCUUUUAUUCACACUUGCAUGUGAAAGGGCCCAAACACAUCAGUUAAUGCUAAUUCAAAGAGGACAGAAAGCAAACGGGUUCACAAAAGAUAUUGUGUCACAAAUCAAAGUAAAAAUCAUUGUUUUCGUCACUUGUGCUGACUUCUUUUUAGCAUUUUGGUGAGCAUUAACAUUUCUUUGGAUGUGUUUCUUGUUGGCUGAGGAUGUGUUUCUUGAGCCUUUAGUGAAGUAAACACUUUGUGUGAAUUUUAAUUUAAUUUCUCUCAUACUGCAUUUCACUUUCUUACCAAACAGUGCUGGCUUGUAAUGUCUUGUUACAGAUAAGGCUCUCUCAUUUUCUUAGGCAAGAGAAAAUUAAUCUCAACACAACCAAUGCCAUUCAUUCAUUGUGGCUCCAUUGCCUCACUGACUAACAAGCUAAUGGAUGACUUCAGAUUUGCCGUUGUGGUAAUGAUACAGUAGGCAGCUGCUCUUUGAAAGGGCAGCAAACAGCCUCACCUUUAUCCAUGAUUGUGGUAUGGAAUUGACAAAUAGCUCCUUAGAUGGUUUUAGUUUCCUCUGUUUUGUGUCUUGGAAGGCUGAAUUUUCAAUCUACAGUGCAUAGCUUGACAUUUUGGGACACUUGGAUUGGAUAAAAUGAGGGUAGAACUUUAUUGUGAGUUUGCCAGUCAAGACUUCAGGAAGUCACAGCUCUCAGCCAAGAAAUUGUUCCCACACAUCACUUCCGCCACAAUAUUAGCAUGUUGGUUAACAUGUUGGUUUUGUGGACAUUAAACAAACAAGAUGUAACACUUGCCUCAAGUCUCAAUGCUAAGCUAAGUUAAUUGCCUGCUGAAGCAAGCUUUAUAUUUAAAAAGAUGGAUUAUAUAAGAAUUAACCACCUUGAUUUCAAACUCCAAACCAACAGGGAGCAGUAUAUCAACAGAGUAACUGCUAGCUUUGGCUAAGUGUAGCUUCCAUUAGUAUGUAAGCUUUGUUAACCAUGCAGGUAGUGGUUGUAUUCACUGACUCUGCCCACAUCCAGAGUUGGGAGUACCAUGGGAGUGUUGGUGGUGUUUACUAUUAGACCAAUCCCUCUUAAGGAACGAACUGGCUAGGGGCUAGCAGGUUAGCAUACUUACUUCAACAUAUAUCUCAGCAACACAGUACAAAAAAAACAUGAACAUAUAAAGUUUAAACAUAUUUCUUCUCAUUCUGUUGAUAGCUUUAGUUAACAUCAAAGUUCUUUAACAUACAGAUGUAAGAGUGGUAUCAGAGUUCUCAUGUAACUCUCACAAAGACAGCAAGUAUGUUCACCUCCCAAAAUGUUGAAUUAUGUUACAUUUUUUUUCCAACAUUUGAAAAGGUGGCUGAUGUCUCUGUGACUUGCCUUUUUACAAGUAAAAGGCAAAAAUUUACUUAAAAAAUCACAAAAUAUAAUUGUGUUCAUUAGUGACAUGUUGUUUUCUUUGUCUUUUCUAACUAAUUUGUCCUCUUGUGACCCCUCAGAUUGAGUUUGUGAUCCCUUAGAGGAUCAUGAACCUCAUUUUGGGAAUCGGAGGGCCUGAAAGGCUGAAGAGCUUUUGAUAGCCCCAAAUUCCUAACAGCUACAUUCAUUCUAAUUUCCUAUGUUAUUUCUAUGUAAAAAAAAAUGGAUCGUCAUAAUCUGUAUUAAAUGAUGUA